rnacentral:rRNA from 1 species
GAUGAACGCUGGCGGCGUGCCUAAUACAUGCAAGUCGAGCGAACAGACGAGGAGCUUGCUCCUCUGACGUUAGCGGCGGACGGGUGAGUAACACGUGGAUAACCUACCUAUAAGACUGGGAUAACUUCGGGAAACCGGAGCUAAUACCGGAUAAUAUAUUGAACCGCAUGGUUCAAUAGUGAAAGACGGUUUUGCUGUCACUUAUAGAUGGAUCCGCGCCGCAUUAGCUAGUUGGUAAGGUAACGGCUUACCAAGGCAACGAUGCGUAGCCGACCUGAGAGGGUGAUCGGCCAAACUGGAACUGAGACACGGUCCAGACUCCUACGGGAGGCAGCAGUAGGGAAUCUUCCGCAAUAGGCGAAAGCCUGACGGAGCAACGCCGCGUGAGUGAUGAAGGUCUUCGGAUCGUAAAACUCUGUUAUUAGGGAAGAGCAAAUGUGUAAGUAACUAUGCACGUCUUGACGGUACCUAAUCAGAAAGCCACGGCUAACUACGUGC